rnacentral:lncRNA from 1 species
GGCUCCAUUUCUCCCAUCCAUUAUAACAGGUAGUUGGGUUUUUCCAUCAUCAAAAAACAUGAAAGCAAUGGAUUUCAGGAUGACAGUAGAUUCAAACUGUAGAAAUCCUUCAAGAAGGAUUCAUAUCAUCCUCUAGAAAUUCCUCUGCUUCAUUCUUUUUAUCAUAUUCAAAUGAGAUUUACUGAAGGCUAAGCACCAUUCCUGGAUUGAACUCUUUUUUCAUAUCAGCCUCUGGAAAACAUUGCUCUUUUUGUAUCAGCUCAGAUGUCUCCUUCCUAAUUUCAUCUUCCCUUAUUCCCCAAGCAUGAAGUGAUCUCUUUCUCCUCAUGUAUCUGAUAUACUUUAUCCAGACAUCUCCAUGUUAUUGUCACAUUUGACCUUCAUAGAGUACUUACUGAAGUCAUAGGAUCAAGUAUCCGAUGAUGAUAGACAGAGUCAUAUAGACUUUAGAGGUGUUCUAAUACAAUGCCUUCUUUUUCCAGAUGAGGAAAUUUAAGUCCAGAGAAGUUAAGGCUUUUGUCCCAGUAUUCACAGGGAGCAAGUGAGGAAGCCAGGAUUUGAAUUUGAUUCCUCUGACAUGAAGUCCUGCUAGUUGAAUUGUAAAUUCCUUGAAAAUAGCAGCUAUAUAUUUUUUCAACUAGGUGGUUUACUGAAUAGAGGGUUGGACUUGGACUGAGAAAGACCUGAGUUCAAAUACUUCCUAAUAAACUUAUUAUCUGUGUGAUUCCGGGAACCGAU